rnacentral:rRNA from 1 species
AAGCCCCAACGGGUGUUGUGAUGGGUAGGGGAGCGUCGUGUGCCGGGUGAAGCAGCGCCGGAAGGUAGUUGUGGACGGUUCACGAGUGAGAAUGCAGGCAUGAGUAGCGAUACAAGAGUGAGAAACUCUUGCGCCGAUUGACUAAGGGUUCCUGGGUCAAGCUGAUCUGCCCAGGGUAAGUCGGGACCUAAGGCGAGGCCGACAGGCGUAGUCGAUGGACAACCGGUUGAUAUUCCGGUACCCGCUUUGAAACGCCCAAUAUCGAAUCCAUUAAUGCUAAGGCCGUGAAGCCGUCCUGGAUCCUUCGGGUGAAGGGGAGUGGUGGAGCCGCUGACCCAAGAUGGUAGUAGGUAAGCGAUGGGGUGACGCAGGAAGGUAGUCCAGCCCGGGCGGUGGUUGUCCCGGGGUAAGGGUGUAGGCCGAGGGGUAGGCAAAUCCGUCCCUCAUGAAGGUUGAGACCUGAUGCCGAGCCGAUUGUGGCGAAGUGGAUGAUCCUAUGCUGUCGAGAAAAGCCUCUAGCGAGUUUCAUGGCGGCCCGUACCCUAAACCGACUCAGGUGGUCAGGUAGAGAAUACCGAGGCGUUCGGGUGAACUAUGGUUAAGGAACUCGGCAAAAUGCCCCCGUAACUUCGGGAGAAGGGGGGCCACGCCUGGUGAUCGGAUUUACUCCGUGAGCUGGGGGUGGCCGCAGAGACCAGCGAGAAGCGACUGUUUACUAAAAACACAGGUCCGUGCGAAGCCGUAAGGCGAUGUAUACGGACUGACGCCUGCCCGGUGCUGGAACGUUAAGGGGACCGGUUAGCUCCAUUUCGGUGGGGCGAAGCUGAGAACUUAAGCGCCAGUAAACGGCGGUGGUAACUAUAACCAUCCUAAGGUAGCGAAAUUCCUUGUCGGGUAAGUUCCGACCUGCACGAAUGGCGUAACGACUUCUCGACUGUCUCAACCAUAGGCCCGGUGAAAUUGCACUACGAGUAAAGAUGCUCGUUUCGCGCAGCAGGACGGAAAGACCCCGGGACCUUUACUACAGUUUGAUAUUGGUGUUCGGUUCGGCUUGUGUAGGAUAGGUGGGAGACUUUGAAGCAGCCACGCCAGUGGUUGUGGAGUCGCCGUUGAAAUACCACUCUGGUCGUGCUGGAUGUCUAACCUCGGUCCGUGAUCCGGAUCAGGGACAGUGUCUGAUGGGUAGUUUAACUGGGGCGGUUGCCUCCCAAAGGGUAACGGAGGCGCCCAAAGGUUCCCUCAGCCUGGUUGGCAAUCAGGUGUUGAGUGUAAGUGCACAAGGGAGCUUGACUGUGAGACCGACGGGUCGAGCAGGGACGAAAGUCGGGACUAGUGAUCCGGCGGUGGCUUGUGGAAGCGCCGUCGCUCAACGGAUAAAAGGUACCCCGGGGAUAACAGGCUGAUCUUCCCCAAGAGUCCAUAUCGACGGGAUGGUUUGGCACCUCGAUGUCGGCUCGUCGCAUCCUGGGGCUGGAGUCGGUCCCAAGGGUUGGGCUGUUCGCCCAUUAAAGCGGUACGCGAGCUGGGUUUAGAACGUCGUGAGACAGUUCGGUCCCUAUCCGCUGUGCGCGUAGGAAUAUUGAGAAGGGCUGUCCCUAGUACGAGAGGACCGGGACGGACGAACCUCUGGUGUGCCAGUUGUCCUGCCAAGGGCAUGGCUGGUUGGCUACGUUCGGGAGGGAUAACCGCUGAAAGCAUCUAAGCGGGAAGCCUGCUUCAAGAUGAGUAUUCCCACCUCCUUGAGAGGGUAAGGCUCCCAGUAGACGACUGGGUUGAUAGGCCAGAUGUGGAAGCCCGGUAACGGGUGGAGCUGACUGGUACUAAUAGGCCGAGGGCUUGUCCUCAGUUG